GACGAACGCUGGCGGCGUACUUAACACAUGCAAGUCGAACGGUAAGGCCCUUCGGGGUACACGAGUGGCGAACGGGUGAGUAACACGUGGGUGAUCUGCCCUGCACUUCGGGAUAAGCCUGGGAAACUGGGUCUAAUACCGGAUCGGACCACUGCCUGCAUGGGUGGUGGUGGAAAGCUUUUGCGGUGUGGGAUGGGCCCGCGGCCUAUCAGCUUGUUGGUGGGGUGAUGGCCUACCAAGGUGACGACGGGUAGCCGGCCUGAGAGGGUGACCGGCCACACUGGGACUGAGAUACGGCCCAGACUCCUACGGGUGGCAGCAGUGGGGAAUAUUGCACAAUGGGCGCAAGCCUGAUGCAGCGACGCCGCGUGAGGGAUGACGGCCUUCGGGUUGUAAACCUCUUUCAGCACCGACGAAGCGCAAGUGACGGUAGGUGCAGAAGAAGGACCGGCCAACUACGUGCCAGCCGCCGCAGUAA
rnacentral:rRNA from 1 species